rnacentral:misc_RNA from 1 species
CGACCCUCAAGCCUUGGUUGCUUGGUAUUGGGAGCUUACCCUGUAGUAACUCCUUAAAGUUAGUGGCAGAGCUGUGGAACACUCUAAGCGUAGUAAUUUCUUCUCGCUUCUGUAGUGGCCUCGGCGAUCGCCAUAAGCCUAUUUUUUAAA